UCUGGUUGAUCCUGCCAGAGGUUACUGCUAUCGAGGUUCGACUAAGCCAUGCGAGUCGAAUGUAGCAAUACAUGGCGUACUGCUCAGUAACACGUGGAUAACCUACCCUUAGGACGGGGAUAAACCCGGGAAACUGGGUAUAAUACCCGAUAGAUCUCGACUGCUGGAAUGCAUCGAGCUUGAAAGCUCCGGCGCCUAAGGAUGGAUCUGCGGCCUAUCAGGUUGUAGUGGGUGUAGCGUACCUACUAGCCUACGACGGGUACGGGUUGUGAGAGCAAGAGCCCGGAGAUGGAUUCUGAGACACGAAUCCAGGCCCUACGGGGUGCAGCAGGCGCGAAAACUUUACAAUGCCGGCAACGGCGAUAAGGGGACCUCGAGUGCCAGGUUACAAAUCUGGCUGUCGUGAUGCCUAAAAAGCAUUGCAUAGCAAGGGCCGGGCAAGACCGGUGCCAGCCGCCGCGGUAACACCGGCGGCUCGAGUGGUAACCGUUAUUAUUGGGUCUAAAGGGUCUGUAGCCGGCCGGAUAAGUCUCUUGGGAAAUCUGGCAGCUUAACUGUCAGGCUUUCAGGAGAUACUGUCUGGCUCGAGGCCGGGAGAGGUGAGAGGUACUUCAGGGGUAGGGGUGAAAUCUUGUAAUCCUUGAAGGACCACCAGUGGCGAAGGCGUCUCACCAGAACGGACCUGACGGCAAGGGACGAAAGCUAGGGGCACGAACCGGAUUAGAUACCCGGGUAGUCCUAGCCGUAAACGAUACUCGCUAGGUGUCGGCCACGGUGCGACCGUUGUCGGUGCCGUAGGGAAGCCGUGAAGCGAGCCACCUGGGAAGUACGGCCGCAAGGCUGAAACUUAAAGGAAUUGGCGGGGGAGCA
rnacentral:rRNA from 1 species